GGUCCAUAUCACCAGCUUAGUUUU
rnacentral:snRNA from 1 species